UGAUGUCCAUGGCCUGUGUUACCACAGAGGGCUGUAAGAACCAUGUGUGUUGAAAUCCAAGGGCUGUGCUGAGCUAACUCAGCCCUUCACUGACUCUGGAAUAGGUGGCCCUGCCCCCUGGCUGUACACUGCAGCAGGAAAGCUGCUCCUGCCCCUCGUGGGAGAGCUCCCUCCAACCCCACACUCUGGAGAGAUGGUUCCACCCUCACCAUGGGCAUGGGAGAGCUGGCCCCAAUGGCAUGGGGGUAGGAGAACUUGCUCCAUCCCUCACCUGAGGGAUUUGGUCCCAGUGGCCCAUACUGUCCAGCCCAGCCACCACCCAGGCCCACAUCCUGGGCUUGGGUUGGCCCAUCCUAACAUCUACCCUUUCUAGGACCUGCUAGAGCUCAUGAAGGGACUGGUCCUGCUGAACAAUAGCUGCAGGAUCUCCAUGACUGGGAGCAACAGCAGGAUACCUGAGAGGAGUUUCCAUGAGGGUCCAGAGGGGAUGGAGUGUCAGAGGCCUUGAACCAGACCGAUGACUCAUUGUGAUGAACAUUUUGUGGGUGUGGCUGAUUGGACAAAAGGGUGAACUUCAUGACACACCGCAGCUCCGGAUGCCGCUAGGAUGAAUGAAGAAGUGUUGGCGAGAUGGAGGAGCCAGGUGGUAGGAGCAAGGUGGUUUUUUUUUUAAAUUAAUUUGGCGGGGGGAGUGCUGGAGGACUGGAGAGCAGAUAUGGAGGGACUUGGAGGUGAGUGGGAUUGGGGUGCAUAAUGUGAAAUUUCCAAAGAAUAAAGAACGUUAUUAAAAAGAUGUAUUUUAGAUAUUGUAUCAGGAAUAAUUGGUGAAUAAUUCUCAGUUUCUGGUGAAAUUUCACAACAAAAGAAGUUUAAAUAAUUUAGGGUAAGUCCUUUGUUUCUUUUAGUUCAGCUUUGAGCCCAAUGGACCCAAAAGAUGAACGCCAGGAACUUACAGCAAACUGUUUCUUGAAUGAUUUCCUGUUGAAGGGUCAACAGUGGCUGCAGACACUUCUUCAGUGUCGUGGGACUGGGGACACAGGAUUAGGAAGUGUUGUGGGUUCGGGUCCCUUGGCCACACUGUUGCCUCCCUGGUCCCUUCUCUCUGCUGUGUUCACAUUAGAAGCAGUGUUCGUCAUUUGCAGAGCAAGCUUUUUGUUCUUGGUUGCAAGUAUAAUCUAUAGUUUACUUUAGGGGAAAAAAUCAACUCCGAAGAGCUGGAGAAGUCAAGGAAAAAUAGAAUUGAUGAAUGACAAUUUUCCUGGUAAGGUAACUGGUUACUUUUGCAAGUUAAAUUAAGUGACUUAAGUUAAAUUUCCAUUUCCUAAGAGAAAAACAGCAGGUGUUUUCCCCCCACUUGGAGCUUUAGUCUUUUUUUUUUUUUAAUUAAAUUUAUUCUUUGACAGUUUCACACCUGCACAUAAUACACAGUGGUCGCACUUACACCCCAUCCUUUCUUUUUGUUUUGUUUUUAUUUUUUUAGACAGAGUCUCUCUAUGUAGCCCUGGCUGUCCUAGAACUCACAGCUAUCUGCCUUUCUCUUCCUCCUAGGUGCUGGGAUUAAAGGUGCGCACUGCCACACUAACCCCUACCCUUUCUUACCUCCCUCCCAUCCCCGAGGAAGUCCCUCCUUACGAGGCCCUUGUGACCCCUGAGAUGGCAACCUUUGUGGGCGUGGCUGUGGCACAGAGCAGGCUCACAAAUAGCUGCAGCACUUAGGACAGCGCCCCUUCAAGCUUCCAUCAACAGCUGUAGUUUCUCAGGGAGGGACGGGUCCCCAUCCCUCCUCACGACCCAUACAGGCCACUGCGGAUGCCCGAGUUCAUGAUCGCUACACGUUUCAGCAUUCCUCAACAGCCAGCUCAGCUAUUAUUCUGUUCCCUUUAACACAUGAGAAUGAACUGUGUGGUCACUGAAGGCAGUGCCUUGUAGAUGGACCAGAUCUUCACUCAUCAGACAGCAUCCACUGACGAUCUCCACCUGACUCAUGAUUGCUGGAUACUAAUUGCCAAAACCUGCCAUUCCUUUUACAUGUAACGAUUGACCUUUCCUUCCCUGUUCAUCAUUUGCUGCAUCAUUGUGGACUGUAGCCUUGGUUUUCUCUUUCGGGGUGUUGGGGAUUGAACCAAGACAAAGCAUUUUGUCACCAUCACCCCCCAUUCAUAGAUCCCAUUGUCACCAUCACCCCCCAUUCAUAGAUCCCAUUGUCACCAUCACCCCCCAUUCAUAGAUCCCAUUGUCACCAUCACCCCCCCAUUCAUAGAUCCCAUUGUCACCACCCCCCAUUCAUAGAUCCCAUUGUCACUACCACCCCCCAUUCAUAGAUCCCAUUGUCACUACCACACCCCAUUCAUAGAUCCCAUUGUCACUACCACCCCCCAUUCAUAGAUCCCAUUAUCACUAUCACACCCCAUUCAUAGAUCCCAUUGUCACCAUCACCCCCCAUUCAUAGAUCCCAUUAUCACUAUCACACCCAUUCAUAGAUCCCAUUGUCACCAUCACCCCCCAUUCAUAGAUCCCAUUGUCACCAUCACCCCCCAUUCAUAGAUCCCAUUGUCACCAUCACCCCCCAUUCAUAGAUCCCAUUGUCACCAUCACCCCCCAUUCAUAGAUCCCAUUGUCACUACCACACCCCAUUCAUAGAUCCCAUUGUCACUACCACACCCCAUUCAUAGAUCCCAUUGUCACCAUCACCCCCAUUCAUAGAUCCCAUUGUCACCAUCACCCCCCAUUCAUAGAUCCCAUUGUCACCAUCACCCCCCAUUCAUAGAUCCCAUUGUCACCAUCACCCCCAUUCAUAGAUCCCAUUAUCACUAUCACACCCCAUUCAUAGAUCCCAUUGUCACCAUCACCCCCCAUUCAUAGAUCCCAUUAUCACCAUCACACCCCAUUCAUAGAUCCCAUUGUCACCAUCACCCCCCAUUCAUAGAUCCCAUUUUAUUCAAUGAGAUGGUAAUUUGUUACUAACAUUUUUUUUUUAUUUCUAAGUAUUGGCCUGAGCAGUGCGAAUUCAAGCUCUUGUUUACUUUUGACAUUAUCUCUACCAUUCUUUGAGUAUAUUCUUACUAUAAAACAAAGAUAUUCCAUGCUCAUCUUUGUAUUUCCUCUGCACUAGCUAUGAAAUAGGCAAUUUUUCUAAGAUCUGGUUCCAUUUGUGGAAAAUGUUAUUUUUCUAGAAUAAACUUCUUACUACAUUUA